rnacentral:rRNA from 1 species
AGUGAACGCUGGCGGUAGGCCUAACACAUGCAAGUCGAACGGCAGCACAGUAAGAGCUUGCUCUUACGGGUGGCGAGUGGCGGACGGGUGAGGAAUACAUCGGAAUCUACUUUUUCGUGGGGGAUAACGUAGGGAAACUUACGCUAAUACCGCAUACGACCUACGGGUGAAAGCAGGGGAUCUUCGGACCUUGCGCGAUUGAAUGAGCCGAUGUCGGAUUAGCUAGUUGGCGGGGUAAAGGCCCACCAAGGCGACGAUCCGUAGCUGGUCUGAGAGGAUGAUCAGCCACACUGGAACUGAGACACGGUCCAGACUCCUACGGGAGGCAGCAGUGGGGAAUAUUGGACAAUGGGCGCAGGCCUGCUCCAGCCAUACCGCGUGGGUGAAGAAGGCCUUCGGGUUGUAAAGCCCUUUUGUUGGGAAAGAAAAGCAGCAGGUUAAUACCCCGCUGUUCUGACGGUACCCAAAGAAUAAGCACCGGCUAACUUCGUG